AACGAUGGUGAUGAUGUUUUCUUGUGUGAGUAUGAGUACGAUGUGCAUUGGCAUAGCUUCAAGCGUUUGGCUGAGUU